GGUUGUGGCUCAGAGGUAGAGCACUCGCCUAGCAUGUGUGAGGCCCUGGGUUCAAUCCUAAGAAUCA
rnacentral:tRNA from 1 species